GAGAAGAAAGUAAGAAAGAGCACACAGGGGAUGCCUUGGCUCUCAGAGGCGAUGAAGGACGUGAUAAGCUGCGAUAAGCUCCGGGGAUUAGCAA
rnacentral:rRNA from 1 species